UACAGAGGGUGCAAGCGUUGUUCGGAAUCAUUGGGCGUAAAGAGCGUGUAGGCGGCCCGGUAAGUCCGCUGUGAAAGUCGGGGGCUCAACCCUCGAAAGCCGGUGGAUACUGUCGGGCUAGAGUGCGGAAGAGGCGAGUGGAAUUCCCAGUGUAGAGGUGAAAUUCGUAGAUAUUGGGAAGAACACCGGUGGCGAAGGCGGCGACCUGGUCCGAUACUGACGCUGAGGCGCGAAAGCGUGGGGAGCAAACAGG
rnacentral:rRNA from 1 species